UACGUAGGGGCCUAGCGUUGUCCGGAUUUAUUGGGCGUAAAGAGCUCGUAGGCGGCUUGUCGCGUCGUCUGUGAAAACCCGCGGCUCAACGGCGGGCUUGCAGUCGAUACGGGCAGGCUGGAGUUCGGUAGGGGAGAUCGGAAUUCCUGGUGUAGCGGUGAAAUGCGCAGAUAUCAGGAGGAACACCGGUGGCGAAGGCGGAUCUCUGGGCCAUUACUGACGCUGAGGAGCGAAAGCGUGGGGAGCGAACAGG
rnacentral:rRNA from 1 species